AUUGAACGCUGGCGGCAGGCCUAACACAUGCAAGUCGAACGAGUGGCGGACGGGUGAGUAAUGUCUGGGAAACUGCCUGAUGGAGGGGGAUAACUACUGGAAACGGUAGCUAAUACCGCAUACCAUCAGAUGUGCCCAGAUGGGAUUAGCUAGUAGGGGGGGUAAUGGCUCACCUAGGCGACGAUCCAUAGCUGGGCUGAGAGGAUGACCAGCCACACUGGAACUGGGACACGGUCCAGACUCCUACGGGAGGCAGCAGUGGGGAAUAUUGCACAAUGGGCGCAAUCCUGAUGCAGCCAUGCCGCGUGUGUGAAGAAGGCCUUCGGGUUGUAAAGCACUUUCAGCGAGGAGGCGUUACUCGCAGAAGAAGCACCGGCUAACUCCGUGCCAGCAGCCGCGGUAAUUC
rnacentral:rRNA from 1 species